rnacentral:rRNA from 1 species
UACAGAGGUCCCGAGCGUUGUUCGGAUUCAUUGGGCGUAAAGGGUGCGUAGGUGGCAUGGUAAGUCGGGUGUGAAAUCCCGGGGCUCAACCCCGGAACUGCACUCGAUACUGCCGUGCUCGAGUACUGGAGAGGAGACUGCAAUUUACGGUGUAGCAGUGAAAUGCGUAGAUAUCGUAAGGAGGACCGGUGGCGAAGGCUAGUCUCUGGACAGUUACUGACACUGAGGCACGAAGGCCAGGGGAGCAAACGGG